AACGCUGGCGGCAGGCCUAACACAUGCAAGUCGAGCGGCAGCGGAAAGUAGCUUGCUACUUUGCCGGCGAGCGGCGGACGGGUGAGUAAUGUCUGGGAAACUGCCUGAUGGAGGGGGAUAACUACUGGAAACGGUAGCUAAUACCGCAUAACCUCGAAAGAGCAAAGUGGGGGGAUCUUCGGACCUCACGCCAUCGGAUGUGCCCAGAUGGGAUUAGCUAGUAGGUGAGGUAAUGGCUCACCUAGGCGACGAUCCCUAGCUGGUCUGAGAGGAUGACCAGCCACACUGGAACUGAGACACGGUCCAGACUCCUACGGGAGGCAGCAGUGGGGAAUAUUGCACAAUGGGCGCAAGCCUGAUGCAGCCAUGCCGCGUGUGUGAAGAAGGCCUUAGGGUUGUAAAGCACUUUCAGCGAGGAGGAAGGCAUCAUACUUAAUACGUGUGGUGAUUGACGUUACUCGCAGAAGAAGCACCGGCUAACUCCGUG
rnacentral:rRNA from 1 species